UCCAGCAACACGAUGGGGCGAUAGCCCGC
rnacentral:sRNA from 1 species